UACGUAGGGUGCGAGCGUUAAUCGGAAUUACUGGGCGUAAAGCGUGCGUAGGCGGUUCGCUGUGUCCGAUGUGAAAGCCCCGGGCUUAACCUGGGAAUGGCAUUGGAAACUGGCGGGCUUGAGUGCGGCAGAGGGGGGUGGAAUUCCGCGUGUAGCAGUGAAAUGCGUAGAGAUGCGGAGGAACACCGAUGGCGAAGGCAGCGCCCUGGGUCGACACUGACGCUGAGACACGAAAGCGUGGGGAGCAAACAGG
rnacentral:rRNA from 1 species